CUGAUUUGAAGACGUUCAUGUUUCCAAGACCAUGGACAGACUGUACACAAAUGACAAUGACAACGUUCAAUAUGCAUGCUCGUGUGACUCGUGCAGAGGGCCCUCAGGAAGACUGCUCUGAUAGCGCUGAGUAAUCCCAAGGUCUACAAUGGGUGGUGCCUGAUGUCCAUCGAGUUCAUCAUUGUGGAA